rnacentral:rRNA from 1 species
UACGUAGGGUGCAAGCGUUGUCCGGAAUUAUUGGGCGUAAAGAGCUCGUAGGCGGCUCGUCACGUCGGCUGUGAAAACCCGGGGCUCAACCCCGGGCCUGCAGUCGAUACGGGCGAGCUAGAGUUCGGCAGGGGGAGACUGGAAUUCCUGGUGUAGCGGUGAAAUGCGCAGAUAUCAGGAGGAACACCGGUGGCGAAGGCGUGUCUCUGGGCCGAUACUGACGCUGAGGAGCGAAAGCGUGGGGAGCGAACAGG